AAUGAACGUUGGCGGCGUGGAUUAGGCAUGCAAGUCGAGCGAGAACCAGUCUUCGGAUUGGGGACAGCGGCGAACGGGGUAGGAAUACCUCGGUGACGUACCCCUCGGUCGGGGAUAGCGGCGGGAAACUGCCGGUAAUACCCGAUGAUCUGCCCAAGUUUUACGACAGGGGCAGCAAAGGUGUGAUUCCGUCGGGGGAGCGGCUGAGGUCGUAUUAGCUGGUUGGUAGGGUAACGGCCUACCAAGGCGAUGAUGCGUAGGGGGUGUGAGAGCAUGGCCCCCACCACUGGCACUGAGACACUGGCCAGACACCUACGGGUGGCUGCAGUCGAGAAUCUUCGGCAAUGGGCGCAAGCCUGACCGAGCGACGCCGCGUGCGGGAUGAAGGUCUUCGGAUUGUAAACCGCUGUCGGAGGGGAUGAAAUGCAGGCGGGUACUCCCGUCUGUUUGACAGAGCCUCGGAGGAAGCACGGGCUAAGUUCGUGCCAGCAGCCGCCGUAAAAC
rnacentral:rRNA from 1 species